rnacentral:rRNA from 1 species
CCAAGGAAGGCAGCAGGCGCGCAAAUUACCCAAUACUGAUUCGGUGAGGUAGUGACAAGAAAUACCAAUAUAGGACCCAACGGGUACUAUGUUUGGAAUGAGUACAAUUUAAAAACCUUAACGAGGAACAAUUGGAGGGCAAGUCUGGUGCCAGCAGCCGCGGUAAUUCCAGCUCCAAUAGUGUAUAUUAAAGUUGCUGCGGUUAAAAAGCUCGUAGUUGGAUUUCGGAGUUGUUAUCUGAACCUUCUCGCCAUAAAAAGUGGGGGGGCUAAGGUAGCAGUAGUUUUCAUCAUAGUCCACCAGGAUACUCUCUUGGUGUGUACUGGGUGUUAACCUCCUUUUUUUCUGGUACUUGCUAUCCAGCAAUGGGUAGUUUUUGUCCAGAUAGUUUACUUUGAAAAAAUUAGAGUGUUCAAAGCAGGC